rnacentral:rRNA from 1 species
GAUGAACGCUGGCGGCGUGCUUAACACAUGCAAGUCGAACGGGAUCCAAGGGGUGCUUGCACUUUUUGGUGAGAGUGGCGAACGGGUGAGUAACACGUGAGUAACCUGUCCUUUUCUUUGGGAUAAGCAUUCGAAAGGGUGUUUAAUACCUUAUGUUCUGUCUGCCUCGCAUGGGGUGGGUGGGAAAGGCUUUGGCCGGAUUUGGGUGGGCUCGCGGUCUAUCAGCUCGUUGGUGGGGUGAUGGCUUACCAAGGCUUUGACGGGUAGCCGGCCUGAGAGGGUGGUCGGUCACAUUGGGACUGAGAUACGGCCCAGACUCCUGCGGGAGGCAGCAGUGGGGGAUAUUGCACAAUGGGCGAAAGCCUGAUGCAGCGACGCCGCGUGGGGUAUGAAGGCCUUCGGGUUGUAAACUUCUUUUGCUCUGAACAAGGCAUGCCAGUGGGUGUGUUGAGUGUAGGGGUUGAUUAGCGCCGGCUAACUACGUG